UACGAAGGGUGCAAACGUUGCUCGGAAUUAUUGGGCGUAAAGCGCACGUAGGCGGCUUGGCAAGUCGGAUGUGAAAUCCCUCGGCUCAACCAAGGAAGUGCAUCCGAAACUGCCGAGCUUGAGUACUUAAGAGGAUCGCGGAAUUCCCGGUGUAGAGGUGAAAUUCGUAGAUAUCAGGAGGAACACCAGUGGCGAAGGCGGUGGUCUGGGCCGGAACUGACGCUGAGGAGCGAAAGCGUGGGUAGCAAACAGG
rnacentral:rRNA from 1 species